AUUGAACGCUGGCGGCAUGCUUUACACAUGCAAGUCGAACGGCAGCGCGGGCUUCGGCCUGGCGGCGAGUGGCGAACGGGUGAGUAAUACAUCGGAACGUGCCCAGUAGUGGGGGAUAGCUCGGCGAAAGCCGGAUUAAUACCGCAUACGACCUGAGGGUGAAAGCGGGGGAUCUUCGGACCUCGCGCUAUUGGAGCGGCCGAUGGCAGAUUAGCUAGUUGGUGGGGUAAAGGCCUACCAAGGCGACGAUCUGUAGCUGGUCUGAGAGGACGACCAGCCACCCUGGGACUGGGACACGGCCCAGACUCCUACGGGAGGCAGCAGUGGGGAAUUUUGGACAAUGGGCGAAAGCCUGAUCCAGCAAUGCCGAGUGUGUGAUGAAGGCCUUCGGGUUGUAAAGCACUUUUGGCGGGAACGAAAAGGACUGUGCCAAUACCACGGUUCGAUGACGGUACCCGCAGAAUAAGCACCGGCUAACUACGUG
rnacentral:rRNA from 1 species